rnacentral:misc_RNA from 1 species
GAUGAAGAACGCAGCGAAAUGCGAUAAGUAAUGUGAAUUGCAGAAUUCAGUGAAUCAUCGAAUCUUUGAACGCACAUUGCGCCCAUUAGUAUUCUAGUGGGCAUGCCUGUUCGAGCGUCAUUAAGUCCACUUAAGCCCUGCUUAGUGUUGGGAGACUGCUCCAGCGGUGCUACCCUGUAGCUACCCUGCAGCUCCUCAAAGACAGCGGCGGAGUUGUGGUAUCCUCUGAGCUUAGUAACUUGUUCUAGCUUUCGAGUACACCACUUCCCCUGCCGUAAAACCCUUAAUUUUAAUGGUUGACCUCGGAUCAGGUAGGAAUACCCGCUGAACUUAAGCAUAUCAAUAAGCGGAGGA